rnacentral:rRNA from 1 species
GACGAACGCUGGCGGCGUGCUUAACACAUGCAAGUCGAACGGAAAGGCCCUGCUUUUGUGGGGUGCUCGAGUGGCGAACGGGUGAGUAACACGUGAGUAACCUGCCCUUGACUUUGGGAUAACUUCAGGAAACUGGGGCUAAUACCGGAUAGGAGCUCCUGCUGCAUGGUGGGGGUUGGAAAGUUUCGGCGGUUGGGGAUGGACUCGCGGCUUAUCAGCUUGUUGGUGGGGUAGUGGCUUACCAAGGCUUUGACGGGUAGCCGGCCUGAGAGGGUGACCGGCCACAUUGGGACUGAGAGACGGCCCAGACUCCUACGGGAGGCAGCGGUGGGGAAUAUUGCACAAUGGGCGGAAGCCUGAUGCGGCAACGCCGCGUGCGGGAUGACGGCCUUCGGGUUGUAAACCGCUUUCGCCUGUGACGAAGCGCGAGUGACGGUAAUGGGUAAAGAAGCACCGGCUAACUACGUG